AGUGGAUGGGGAGCAACCCAGUUGUGCGUGUGUAAAGGUAGUGCCAAGAAAAGCGAUGAUCAUGUUGAAAAUCAAUUCCCGGUACCCGAAACCGACACAGGUGGGCAAGUAGAGAAUACUAAGGGGCGCGAGGUAACUCUCUCCAAGGAACUCGGCAAAAUGACCCCGUAACUUAGGGAGAAGGGGUGCCACCGAGAGGUGGUCGCAGUGAAGAGGCCCAGGCGACUGUUUAGCAAAAACAUAGGUCUCUGCAAACUCGAAAGAGGAGGUAUAGGGGCUGACGCCUGCCCAGUGCCGGAAGGUUAAAGAAGUUGGUCAGUCUUAGGAUGAAGCUAGCGACUGAAGCCCCGGUGAACGGCGGCCGUAACUAUAACGGUCCUAAGGUAGCGAAAUUCCUUGUCGGGUAAGUUCCGACCCGCACGAAAGGCGUAACGAUCUGGGCGCUGUCUCGGAGAGAGGCUCGGCGAAAUAGGAUUGUCUGUGAAGAUACGGACUACCUGCAUUUGGACAGAAAGACCCUAUGAAGCUUUACUAUAGCUUGGAAUUGUGUUCGGGCUUCCUGUGCGCAGGAUAGGUGGGAGGCGUAGAAGGUAUUCUUGUGGGGAUACUGGAGCCAACGGUGAGAUACCACUCUCAGGAGGCUAGAAUUCUAACUUAAUUAAGGACAGUUUCAGGUGGGUAGUUUGACUGGGGCGGUCGCCUCCAAAAAGGUAACGGAGGCGUACAAAGGUUCCCUCAGACUGGUUGGAAAUCAGUCAAGAGUGCAAAGGCAGAAGGGAGCUUGACUGCGAGAAGUACAGUUCGAGCAGGGUGGAAACACGGUCUUAGUGAUCCGACGGUGCUGUGUGGAAGGGCCGUCGCUCAACGGAUAAAAGUUACUCUAGGAUAACAGGCUGAUCUCCCCCAAGAGUUCACAUCGACGGGGAGGUUUGGCACCUCGAUGUCGGCUCAUCGCAACCUGGGGCGGAAGUACGUCCCAAGGGUUGGGCUGUUCGCCCAUUAAAGCGGUACGUGAGCUGGGUUCAGAACGUCGUGAGACAGUUCGGUCCAUAUCCGAUGUAGGCGUGAGAAUAUUGAGAGGAGCCUUCCUUAGUACGAGAGGACCGGGAAGGACGCACCGCUGGUGUACCUGUUAUGAUGCCAAUUGUAAACGCAGGGUAGCCAAGUGCGGAGAGGAUAACCGCUGAAAGCAUCUAAGUGGGAAGCCCACCUCAAGAUGAGUAUUCUGGUGUAAGGUCACGGGAAGACGACCCGUAAAUAGGCACGAGGUGGAAGUGCAGAGAUGUAUGAAGCCGAAGUGUACUAAUAGACCGUCGGCUUGAUC
rnacentral:rRNA from 1 species